rnacentral:rRNA from 1 species
GACGAACGCUGGCGGCGUGCUUAACACAUGCAAGUCGAACGGAAAGGCCCUGCUUUUGUGGGGUGCUCGAGUGGCGAACGGGUGAGUAACACGUGAGUAACCUGCCCUUGACUUUGGGAUAACUUCAGGAAACUGGGGCUAAUACCGGAUAGGAGCUCCUGCUGCAUGGUGGGGGUUGGAAAGUUUCGGCGGUUGGGGAUGGACUCGCGGCUUAUCAGCUUGUUGGUGGGGUAGUGGCUUACCAAGGCUUUGACGGGUAGCCGGCCUGAGAGGGUGACCGGCCACAGUGGGACUGAGAUACGGCCCAGACUGCUACGGGAGGCAGCAGUGGGGAAUAGUGCACAAUGGGCGGAAGCCUGAUGCAGCAACGCCGCGUGCGGGAUGACGGCCGUCGGGUUGUAAACCGCUUUCGCCUGGGACGAAGCGUGAGUGACGGUAAUGGGUAAAGAAGCACCGGCUAACUACGUG